AAGUCGUAACAAGGUUUCCGUAGGUGAACCUGCGGAAGGAUCAUUAUCGUGAAUCCACACGUAUUUACUUUUUUAUGGUGAAUCGUCUUUCAAUUGUUUUUGUUUUGUUUGGAUGAAUGGUCGAUUUGGUUUGAUCAUUCUUUUCAAACAAACAAACACAACACAUUUAAACUAUUAACCACUUGUAACCUUUUAAUUGUACUGAACAAAAAUAACUCGUUUUUGCUCUGUCUUCGGAUACGAACAAGACAAGUUACGAUACGAAAUUGCUGAACUACUCUUAGCAACGGAUAUCUUGGUUCUC
rnacentral:misc_RNA from 1 species